rnacentral:rRNA from 1 species
UUGCCAGCGGUCCGGCCGGGAACUCAAAGGAGACUGCCAGUGAUAAACUGGAGGAAGGUGGGGAUGACGUCAAGUCAUCAUGGCCCUUACGACCAGGGCUACACACGUGCUACAAUGGCGCAUACAAAGAGAAGCGACCUCGCGAGAGCAAGCGGACCUCAUAAAGUGCGUCGUAGUCCGGAUUGGAGUCUGCAACUCGACUCCAUGAAGUCGGAAUCGCUAGUAAUCGUGGAUCAGAAUGCCACGGUGAAUACGUUCCCGGGCCUUGUACACACCGCCCGUCACACCAUGGGAGUGGGUUGCAAAAGAAGUAGGUAGCUUAACCUUCGGGAGGGCGCUUACCACUUUGUGAUUCAUGACUGGGGUGAAGUCGUAACAAGGUAACCGUAGGGGAACCUGCGGUUGGAUCACCUCCUUACCUUAAAGAAGC